rnacentral:snRNA from 1 species
GGAUGUGAGGGCAAUCUGGCCAUGACAUCUGUCACCCUACUGAUUGCCAGGGUUGAUUUGGCUGAUCUGGCUGACUAGGUGGGUGUUUGCUUCCUCCUUCACCAUUCCAUGUGCAUCCCUCCCAAAGCUGCGUGCUCAGUUGAAGAGGACAACCACUCCCUGAUAGAGGAGGACCAUUUUCUUAGUCAAGGGUAUAUGAGUAAAUGUCCUCCCCUGGUGGAACCUCCAACAAGCUCUCAAGAAAAGAUUUGACUAGUCUGUUUAUAGUUUACAAACCUAAAAAACUGUAAAAGUGUUACUGUAGUU